GUGGCAUAAAAUAAAUCAAUUCAGACAAGAAAUAUCUUAAUUAACAGGUUAUUAUUUAAACUUGGAAUUAUUUUCAAUUAUGGAAUUUGCAAAAUUUCUUGUUCUAGACAUUUUUAAUGAAUUCCUUGUUUAUUCUGUAUCCUAAUGUUUUGAGUGAUGCAUAACACUUUCCAUUCAAUGUAUUUUGUAUAGAUAGUGUUGUGCGCGGCACAG
rnacentral:lncRNA from 1 species